UACGUAGGUGGCAAGCGUUGUCCGGAAUUACUGGGUGUAAAGGGAGCGUAGGCGGGAAUGCAAGUUGAAUGUGAAAUUUACGGGCUCAACUCGUAAACUGCGUUCAAAACUGUGUUUCUUGAGUUAAGUAGAGGCAGGCGGUAUUCCCUGUGUAGCGGUGAAAUGCGCAGAUAUAGGGAGGAACACCAGUGGCGAAGGCGGCCUGCUGGGCUUUUACUGACGCUGAGGCUCGAAAGCGUGGGUAGCAAACAGG
rnacentral:rRNA from 1 species